rnacentral:rRNA from 1 species
UACAGAGGUCUCAAGCGUUGUUCGGAUUCAUUGGGCGUAAAGGGUGCGUAGGUGGUGAUGCAAGUCUGGUGUGAAAUCUCGGAGCUUAACUCCGAAAUUGCACCGGAUACUGCGUUGCUCGAGGACUGUAGAGGAGAUCGGAAUUCACGGUGUAGCAGUGAAAUGCGUAGAUAUCGUAAGGAAGACCAGUGGCGAAGGCGGGUCUCUGGACAGUUCCUGACACUGAGACACGAAGGCCAGGGGAGCAAACGGG